rnacentral:tRNA from 1 species
GAGGGUAUAGCUCAGUGGUAGAGUGUGUUGGUAGAGUGUGUGCUUAGCAUGCGCAAGGUCCUGGGUUCAAUCCCCAGUACCUCCA